rnacentral:lncRNA from 1 species
CAGGCUUGCAUUUCCUUGCCACCACGGUACACUCCAGCUGUCCAGCUAAUUAAAACCAUCACCUUCCAAAAAAACACAUAACGCCCAGUUUCAUCUAUAUAUAUAUGCCCCACACUUCUCUUCAUAUCAGUAGUACAUUCAAGUGUCCAACAGAAAACUCUCCACUUUGCACGACCAGAGACAGAGAGUAUGGUAUGCUGGGGAUAAGCGUAGACAUGAUAAGGAAUUGGCGACGUGCUCAUACUAUUUGAGAACGGAAGGGGUUAGGAGGGCCUGCACAGUCGGAGGAAGCAUCCGCUGCACAAAUUGAUUAUCGAUCGCCACAGUGAAUAUAAUCGACCUCCUCUGCCAUGUGUGUUGGUCGAACAACACCCCUGCAAGAAACCACUUGAUCACCGAACAAGCCUCCGGGUCCGGACUGCAACACCACGGCAAUGGGGCUCCAAUGGACGAUCACCGGAUACAGUUGCCCCUGGUUGGGGUGCAGCCGCGAUCGAGACGGGAGUUUUUAGCUUUUCCUCUGUUGGGUGAAUCUCGUGAUAGGCGGUCGGGGAGUAGAGGUUUUUCUGCCUCUGAUGACUAGGGCCUGUAGCGGGGCGAACGUGUCA